ACAGGGGGCUAUAAAAGAUGUAACAGAUGCAAACUGUAACACAAGGGCCAUUAACCCUUUCUCUGCCGGGCACACUCAGUCCCCACGCCCCACACCUAUUGUCUCCUGUGCUAGAAGCUUUGCAGAAAACCUGGAAAGUGAGUAUCAGUUUCCACACAUUUGCUGAGAGGGGUGAAGGGAGGGGGGCAGAGAGAAGGGGAAGUGGAUAUUUUAGAAAGCACCUUAAAUUUACCUAGGCAUACAUAGUAGGAGACUUUUAAGUUUGACAUAUUUUAUCAUUUCUUUCCUUGUCCUAUUGAUUUGAAAUUGUUAGGGGAAAUCCUGAAAUAAAGAAAUGGUCACACAAGUGUCUGGGAUGAAACAGCUGGCCUGUCUAUAUUCAUCCUGAGACACACGACUGCAUAUAAAUACAUGUUUAAUAAAGUAAGUUGCUAGUUUUAUGGGCAUGUGUGUGUGUGAGAGAGAGAGACAGGGCAUUUGUGCUGUAAACUUUAUCUUUGCCUGUUACUCCUAAGUCUGGAGUUAGUAAUCUUGCCUUCAUCAUUACAGGGGGAGCAUGUAAAAUAUAUCAGUAGGUGGGAGAUAAACACAUUCAUGUUAGCCGGGCUCAUCACUGUUCCUGGGAACUCCUGCUAUCUCUCUCUCGACUUUUCAGUGCCAAAGUAUGGAAUGGGAUAUAUGUGUGUAUGUGUCUUCUAUUAAAUCCAUGUCUAUAUUACUUUGCCACUAAAAAUACAAUUUUAAAAGUUAUCCUAAUUUAAAACCCUGAUAUCCUGACAGCAGUUUUCUUCCCAGCUGUAGUGCCCCCCCCUCCACUUUGGUAAACGACUCAAGUUCCAUGAGGACUUUCACUUCUUUAUUUAUAAUCACAGAAGUGAGGUGUUACUUCACACACAUACACACACAAAGAAUGAAAUAAAGAAAUGAAACUCGCUAAGCAGACAAAAACAGACAACUUUCUGCUUAGAAAACAGCCUUCUCGGUGGGAGAGGAUGAACUGCCAUGUCUAAGAGAAAGACUUGCCCCCGAAUUUGUAGGUCUGUAACUGACCAAGUUUUGUAAUUAUUAACAGGUAUUUGCCAAGUCCUAAUUGCUGAAUAUAAUGAAUUGGAACUAGAUGCGAAAAUAGAGCAGGACCUCUCCCCUUGAUGAGUUUUUAUUCCAGCCAUAUAAUUCUCAAUAAAACUUUUCCUGGGCUGGAUAGCAAAGGACACCUUUGGUUACCUGAAUGAACAGGUACAGGGGAAAUUAUUUGGGGGAGGGAAAAAGGAGAGAAAAGCAAGGAGAGAGAGUGUGAGUGUAAGAGAAAGCGAAGAAGCCACUCUUGAGAAAAGCUUGCCAUAAAGGAGCUAAACCCACCUGAAAUUCCUACCCACGGACACCCCUUCUCACUUCAGACUCACAUCCCCACUCAAAAUGAGAAAAUUAGAAAAGGAGGAUGGAGGACGAGCACACCAAAAAGGGAUAAAAAGAGAGAAAAGGGGAGGAAAAAAAACCUACCUGCGAAGUCUUGUUUGUAGUUUUGGCCAGAAAUGGUGAGAAGAAAAAGCAUGAAGAAGCCGCGAAGUGUGGGGGAGAAAAAGGUGGAAGCGAAGAAACAGCUCCCGGAGCAAACUGUACAAAAACCUCGCCAAGAGUGUCGGGAGGCAGGACCGUUAUUCCUGCAGAGCAGGAGAGAGACGAGAGACCCUGAAACACGCGCCACCUAUCUUUGUGGGGAGGGAUAAUUGAAGCGCCCUGAGCGUGAGCAUCAUGUGAAAACGUGAUCGCCAAGUUUCUCUCUGGGAAAGGAUCUGGGAUAGAUUAUACCUUGAAGUCUCCGCAAACCUAAAUCCUACAGAGUACAGGGCGGAAAACGGUGCACACCAUUCACAGAACUGGAGAACUCCAAGGGGCGAAAGUUAAAGGGAAAGAUCCCGGGUCCUCAAUCCAGAUAGUCUCUUCUUAUACAGAUAUCUCUAAUGACCAGAUUUGAGAUGCACAUCAAAUUGUGUAGGUAUCUCAGUACAGCUUCUGGAACAAAGUUCUCUGCCCUUUCUCUUAUUGUUAUUUUUUUCUUUUUAGGUACCAGAGCCAGAAAAAAAAAUGCUGCAUGGGAGCUGCAUCUUAGGGCAUGUGUAUUAGGGUGUGUGCAUGAUGAAUUUCUGGACUGGAUCCCAAUAUUAAAAAGUAGUUUGGCAUUUUAAUAAAGGGUCUCUAAGUAAAUUAAAAUAGAACACUCGGUUGGCCGAUCUCUGAAUCUCUCUACACCUCGGGGAGACCUCACUACAAAGUAAGGGAGAGUGUGUAGGGAGGCAGGAGGAGAAACGAGAAAGGCCAUAGAGAAACUUAGCAGGGAAGGGAGAGCAUGAUAUUAAACGGCAUGGGGUCUAAGUUUUGGAGUAUAUAUUUUUUGAUAUUACAAUUAAAGUAAGAUUAAAAAGAAAAGACUCCACCUUUGCUCUGAAGGGAUUGGUUAUGCAAAUAUGGAAGGGAUUUCCUGGAGAAUACAGCUUUCUACUGUAUGGUUAAUUAAAUAAUCACUCAAAAGCUUCCAACGUGACGCUUCUGUCGUAAUCCAAUCAGGUUACAUAGGUCCUAAACAAGAAAGAUAUUUUCCACAUCUGGAAGUCAGCAAUUUAGCAAGUACUGCACAUUAUUAACCAAUUCAGAGCCCACUUCCCAGGGGAAUUUUUUUGAAGUUUAAGUGUUCUUAACCAAUGCUCUGCUGUUUUGUUAAUCAAAAAGCUGGUUUACACUGCACAUAAUUGGAACUAAUAUAGAAGUAAAUAAAGACAGCCAAAUUUGAGGAUGCUGAGCACAGGCAUUUAUCGGAAAAGGAAGAAAUCUCCUAUCCUCGGAUGGUUCAGGCUCAAUUUCUUAAAUAACUGUGAGACUUUUUUUUUUUUCCUAAAGAGUGAAAGUGCUUGAGAACCUCAGAGCACAAAUAAACUUCUAGCCUCACAGCAUUUAGGAUUCUUCGGAAAGGUAAAGGUGGAGGUGUUAAGAGGACCAGAGAGCUGCCUCACACCAAUUUUUAAGCUUUAAUAUUGUUAAAUAUGUUACACCCUCCUGUUUCCAGUCUGAUGAAAUCUGAAACAAAUAAUACCCUGAUCCAACACUAUAUUAAGAUAAACUGCUUUGAACUGUGCUUUGAAUGUGUGCCUAAAGCAAGACUUUGAAUGCAAGAGUCACUGGCAAUUGCACUCAAAGGAGGGACAAGCCACCACAUGGGUUGCCACAUCCACACUCCCAGAGAAAGCUUCACAUGUGAGAUAAAUGCACUCAAAGAUUCCUCACAAGUAGCUCUUUGGAGCUUCAGAUGUGAAAUGGAUCAUUCCUCAAUCUGUAAUAGACCCUUCUGUGAAGCUCUUCAAUCAAACCAGAGAAUUCAAGAGUUUCCAACACCUAAGAGUGGUAUUUGGCAAAUGGUGGGCCAAAGGAAUAAAGAAGGCAUGCAAAACUCUUGACAGAAGACAUUCAGAAAUUGAUUUGAUAUCAGAUACAAGGAGAAAAUAUGCCAGUAAGAAAAUGCAUUUUUCAAGAUUAAAUUCGGCAUUUGUUACUUAAUAGCAUUUGUCAUAUUCCAAUUUUUCAUAUGUAGUAAAUUCAUUUCAAAUCAUUUCGCUCUUCCAAGUGCCUUUGUGUAUUGUAUUUCUUUUUUCACAUCCUUUUGGAUAACAUUUGAGA
rnacentral:lncRNA from 1 species